GUGUGUUUUCAGUGAUGAUUUGAAGAAGAACUAUCAUUUUUUGAGAGUCACUUAUAAUGAUUCUAACGUUCGUUGCGACAAAUGUAAUGCAACUUUUUCGGUUGCUACACACAAUUAAUAAGAAUCGCAGUUUUAGAUCAAACGACUGCGCAACCAAAAUAUUUCGAACCUGUUUCCAAAUGAAACAAUAAUCGUGUUCAAGAACAAAAAGUGAAGCGAUAAGCACCAUACGCAAUGGAAUGCCUCAAGUCUGAUUUACAUAAAGCCCGAUUUAUUUGUUUGUUGACCGACGCUUCCAAUCGGAAAACAAUCAAGAUGUUUCCUGUGUUUUCUUCCAUUAUCUGGAGUUAAUGGUAAAAUAAUUGAACUUUCACAAGAAAAAGGUGAAACGUCGGAUAUAAACUUUUCAUUUAAUAAAAGAGCCUUGAAAAUUU